rnacentral:lncRNA from 1 species
GCAGGAGGAUCUGGAGCAUGUCCAAGGAUACUAGAUCAAGACAGAGAGGCAAAAUAGAGAAAGAAAGGCAAACAUGAACUACGGAAGGACUCUUGUCUCUGCCCUAGAUGCCCCCAUAGGCGAAAAAACAACUCAAAUAAGUGGAACUCCCAAAUAGCCUAUGUCACUAACCUAAUCACCUCCCCAGGUGUGGUCACACGCUAAAAAUAGGCCAAGUUGGCCUGGUUCGACCGAGGCCAACCAAGUCGUAACACAAAACCCUC